UACAGAGGGGGCAAGCGUUAUUCGGAAUUAUUGGGCGUAAAGGGCGCGUAGGCGGCUUUUUAAGUCAGAUGUGUAAUCCCCGAGCUCAACUUGGGAACUGCAUCUGAGACUGGAAGGCUAGAGUACUGGAGAGGGUGGUAGAAUUCCACGUGUAGCGGUGAAAUGCGUAGAGAUGUGGAGGAAUACCAGUGGCGAAGGCGGCCACCUGGACAGUAACUGACGCUGAGACGCGAAAGCGUGGGUAGCAAACAGG
rnacentral:rRNA from 1 species